rnacentral:rRNA from 1 species
GCCCUUCGGGGUGGAUUAGUGGCGAACGGGUGAGUAACACGUGGGCAAUCUGCCCUUCACUCUGGGACAAGCCCUGGAAACGGGGUCUAAUACCGGAUAACACUCUGUCCCGCAUGGGACGGGGUUAAAAGCUCCGGCGGUGAAGGAUGAGCCCGCGGCCUAUCAGCUUGUUGGUGGGGUGAUGGCCUACCAAGGCGACGACGGGUAGCCGGCCUGAGAGGGCGACCGGCCACACUGGGACUGAGACACGGCCCAGACUCCUACGGGAGGCAGCAGUGGGGAAUAUUGCACAAUGGGCGAAAGCCUGAUGCAGCGACGCCGCGUGAGGGAUGACGGCCUUCGGGUUGUAAACCUCUUUCAGCAGGGAAGAAGCGAAAGUGACGGUACCUGCAGAAGAAGCGCCGGCUAACUACGUGCCAGCAGCCGCGGUAAUACGUAGGGCGCAAGCGUUGUCCGGAAUUAUUGGGCGUAAAGAGCUCGUAGGCGGCUUGUCACGUCGGAUGUGAAAGCCCGGGGCUUAACCCCGGGUCUGCAUUCGAUACGGGCUAGCUAGAGUGUGGUAG